GGGGUUGUGGCUCAGCGGUAGAGUGCUAGCCUUGCUUGUGCGAGGCCCUGAGUUCAAUCCUCAGCACCACA
rnacentral:tRNA from 1 species